rnacentral:rRNA from 1 species
CACGUAGGCGGACCGGAAAGUUGGGGGUGAAAUCCCGGGGCUCAACCCCGGAACUGCCCUCAAAACUAUCGGUCUGGAGUUCGAGAGAGGUGAGUGGAAUUCCGAGUGUAGAGGUGAAAUUCGUAGAUAUUCGGAGGAACACCAGUGGCGAAGGCGGCUCACUGGCUCGAUACUGACGCUGAGGUGCGAAAGCGUGGGGAGCAAACA